rnacentral:rRNA from 1 species
GACGAACGCUGGCGGCGUGCUUAACACAUGCAAGUCGAGCGGUAAGGCCUUUCGGGGUACACGAGCGGCGAACGGGUGAGUAACACGUGGGUGAUCUGCCCUGCACUUCGGGAUAAGCCUGGGAAACUGGGUCUAAUACCGGAUAUGACCUCCUAUCGCAUGGUGGGUGGUGGAAAGAUUUAUCGGUGCAGGAUGGGCCCGCGGCCUAUCAGCCUGUUGGUGGGGUAAUGGCCUACCAAGGCGACGACGGGUAGCCGACCUGAGAGGGUGACCGGCCACACUGGGACUGAGACACGGCCCAGACUCCUACGGGAGGCAGCAGUGGGGAAUAUUGCACAAUGGGCGAAAGCCUGAUGCAGCGACGCCGCGUGAGGGAUGACGGCCUUCGGGUUGUAAACCUCUUUCAGCAGGGACGAAGCGCAAGUGACGGUACCUGCAGAAGAAGCACCGGCUAACUACGUG